CCUAUGUUACCGAGCAGGAGACGCAACCAAGCUCAAGGAGGAGCUCGAUGAAGAUCUUGCCCUUUGUGUUGUUUCGUUCUAGUUGAUCAGUAGUGGAGCCCAGUUGGGGUCGAUCGGGGACCGUUGUCGCAUUUGGGGUUCUUCUUUUAUUUUGGUUCCGUAGUCGGACCUUGAUUGUAUCUGGAUGAUGUAAUGCUUUAUUCAUGUAAUUGUGUGAAGUGGCGAUUGUAAGCCAACUAUGUAUCUCUUUCCCUUAUGUAUUACAUGGGUUGUGUGAAGAUUACCUCACUUGCGACAUUGCUUUCAAUGCGGUUAUGCCUCUAAGUCGUGCUUCGACACGUGGGAGAUAUAGCCGCAUCGAGGGCGUUACAAGUUGGUAUCAGAGCCUUCCCCGACCUUAGGAGCCCCACUGCUUGAUCGUUUUUAGCGGCCGAGUUGUGUCUAGAAAAAUGUUUUGAGUCAUUUAGGAAUUAUAUAUCGGAGAGUUUAGGAAUUCUUUUUACUUCCCAGUCUCCUCGUCGCUCUGGUAAGGCAUCCUGACGUAGAGUUUUGACUCUUCUCUUCUCAAAUUUCACUAAUUUUUUUUUUAGGAUCACGCGGGUAUCUUGGAAUCGUUCCGAUGGUUUUAUGAUGAGAACAUUGUCUUGGUGCCUCCUGUCAGGGGUUUAGUGGAAGUGUCCCGGGGAGUUGAGCUCUGAGGUGUUGUCGUCAUAAUUUUAUUGUUGCAGUUCUGGAAUACCUGAGUUUAGUACGCCGACAUCGAAAAUCUCUUUUAUGCAGUUGUUGGUGAGAUAACCCCGAUAACCCAGUACUGAGGUGAGUACGGGAGUAUUGCCAUAACUUGUAUAACGGAUGCUUUUCGAAGGUUGAGGUAGAUGGUUUCCGAAGUUUCUUGGUUAUGUGUUGAAGGAUGGAUACAGCUGGAUGUAGGAUUUGCUAGUUUUGGGUGAGAUAUUAUGCUUCCCCUGUAUCCCCAACACCUGAUUGCAUAACCGGAAAAAUUUCGGGAGUUUCAUAGGUGGGAAUUCAAGUAGCUCUUAGGAUAUCUUUCCGACGGAUGUAUGAUAUGAAUUUGGGGUUCGACGUCUAGUGGUCCGCCUAUUCACGGUUGGUUUUACAGUGGUCUCGUUGUGUCUUAAAGAGUCCUUGGCUAUGCCGACUCGGGGACGCUUCGUAUGUCAUGUGCACUGCCUUGUACAUGAUGGUGCUGUACGAUCGAGCCCGUGUAGGCCCCACCACGAAAACUUCGGACGAAAUCUCUAUCAUAUGUUUGCUCCGGCUUAUUCUGCAAGCCAAUCCUUUGUUUUGUUUUGAGUUGUGGUAUUCGAGUUGCUUCGAAGUCAAAUGUUGAUUCCAUACCUUUUCCAAAUGGUGUUCUCAUAUUCCUAUGUGAAUACUAAUCCUUCUUGAUCAUCGAGUCUGUCUUGUCAAUCUUUUUUUAACCGGUGUGUCUCUCCUCAAGUGGAUCCGUUCACGUCAACAUUUGCAAGAUCAUUUAUCACUUCUUCUCAACGGUGUUUGUUUCAUCCGUCUCCAAGUUGCCUUUGUUUUUCCCACCCUCCCUCCCUUUUGUUUUUCUUUAAGGACUAAGAUUUCUUCUUCAAGUAUCCAUUUUAUUGAUGGGAAGUUUCUCCAUUCUUUUCCGUCAAUGUUCUUACCCGGUGGUUCCGAAGAAGAUGUUCUACUAGUUCGUCAUUCCUCGUUCUUUUCUUCUCCGGUGGAUUUAAUUCAAGCUUUGGUAUUAAGCAUACUCCUUUUUCUUUUUUUUCCAAUGCUUUUCUUAUGCCGGUGCACCUCUUAAUCAUCCAUCUCUCGCUAUUAAAUUGUUCCGGAGUGCUCAAGAUAUCUCGAAGAUUCGUGUUUCCACUCUGCAUUCGUUCAAGCUCUUUCGAGAUUGGUAUCUCAUUCAAGUCAUUUAAUUCAACCGGUGCAACAUCUCUUUUAAAUCUUUUCAACGGUGUUCUUUUGAGUGGGCCCUAACCCACAGGUCUUUUCCCAGGAUCUUACCUGACUCUUCUAUUUUCCCAGAGCUAUCCUAAAUUCUUCUCCAAGUUUGACGUAAGAAUGAGUUAUCAUUAGUCAAAUGCUUUUCUCCAAGAUCUUUCAAAUUCUUUUCAUAGUUGGCUCAACCUCUUCGCUUUUGAUUCUUCCGGUGUGCCUCAAUAAUUCUUGGUGGUGUUUCUCGUUGUCAUUCUCAUCAUUUGAAGACCGAAGAAGAGUUUCUCUUUAAUCUUGCUCUAUUCUCUUCAAGAUUCAUGGUGCUAGCUUGUUGCCAUCCUCUCAUAAUUGUUUUCGAUUGUGAGAAUCUUUUUCACCCAUCAGGAGAUAUUCAAGAGUCUUCUCAGUUUGUCAUCCGGAGUCCAUCAAUUCAGGUUUAUUCAUUCUCAGUCGUCAGUUAUCAUUCUCCUAUCUUGCCGGUGCAUCUAUCGAAUAUCCUCUAAUCAGUUUUGAUCUCUUUGUUCUCAUGUAUCUAGUUUGUCUCAAGCACCUUCGUUCAUUUGCUAAUUCUUACCGGUGAUGCACCCCUACUUCGAUCAUUUUCAAUUCUUACGGUGGUUCUUUCAAGAUCUCUCUUCCUUGUUCAUCAUAUCAAUUCAUUUGUUGUUCCAAUCCUACCGGUGGUUCGUUGAAGACCUUCUCAAGUUUACGCUAUAUCUCUUUUAAUCCUUUCUACGAGAAUAAGUAGUAUGCCAAAUCCGUUGAUUGUCGUCAAUUUAAUUGGUGAAGGAUAAGCAUAACAUAACUCUUAUUCUUGUUCAUCCAAGUGAUUAAUUCUUUUCUUCCGGAGAUUGUUCAUGAUGAAGUAAUUCUCGGUUUCAUUUGUUUCAUCUUCUCUUUUUCCCGGAGUUCCAAGCUCUAAUUAUCACGGAGAUCCAUCUGAAUCAUUGCAAGGAUUCACCUUGUGUUUUCAAUUUCUCUUUCUUUUCAUUCCUUUUGUUUACCGGAGUUCUUCAUGGAGGUUCUACAUGAUGGUUCAUCAAGGAUUUAAUUCCCUUCUCAAAGUUUUCAUCGAGAUUCUUUCCUAAGGAGCUCAAGCUUUCUUCAUAUGGUAAUCCAGAGUGAAAUUCUUUCUACCAUAUUUUGGAGGUGGUAUUAUGUCAUUCUUGAUAAUUUGAGUUCAUGUUCCAUAAUUCACAUGUUGUUAAGAAUGAGUUAUUUUUAAAUCCAUAUCUCUUCGUUGGAGUUAUCUUGGUAUAGAUUUCACCUAAAAGCCUUCCAUUGGAAUGUUGUUAUUUGUGGUGCUUGCCAAUGAUCCAAGUUAUCUCUUUAUCAUCUUGGUGGAAGAAGUUUUCAUCUCUUCGUUGAUCUCAAGCAAGCAAUUGUUUCCGUUAGUGGCUGGUUGUCACCUCAUAAUUUUGAGAUGUUUUCCAUAAGCCCACUACAAGCUUGUGCUUUUCAUUGUUGAUUUUCCAACAACUCCGUUCAAUUCUUCUUUGCAAGGAUGCUUUCCAAACUCAUUUGUGGCAGAAGUUGGCAUUUUCUUCUCCAUUCUGUUAUUCCAAUGAUAUAUCUUCUAUUAUUUCUUUCAGAGGCAUUGCGACGUUGCUCUUUUCACUCACCAUCUCGAUUCGUGAGGAUCGUGUUCUUUUCUUGCUUAUCCAUUUAACCGGAGUGUCGUGUUUUCAUUCGAGUUCUCUAAUCUUAUCAAGUUUUCCCUCCUUCCUCAACUGGAGAGCUGUCUGAAAUCCUUCUUACCCAUUGUGCCAUUCUUUCAAUAGUUCCGGAGGCAGUGUGUUGUUGAUUUCAUCAAGUAACAUCCCCAUCUUCUCAAGUUCAUGUUCUAUUCCUUCCAUGUUCAACCGGAGUACUGCCCGAAUUCUUCCCCUCUCAUCUUGUUUUAACCGGAGUGGUUUCGAAUUCUAUCUUGUCCAUUAAACUCUUGAUUCAUGUCUUUGCAACCUUCAAGUUCUCGUAAUGUUCCUUGUUCCUCUUUAUAAUGGAUUGUUUGCAAUCUCGUUCAUCUCCUUUGUAUUCUUUCUUUCAAUUUGUUCAACCUCUCAAGGUUCUUUGGUUUCACUCAUUGGUCAAAGAAGCAACUUAGUUUUACCUCUUCUCUUCCUCUUCCAUUUCCCUCCGGUGCCAUCCUAGAUCUCGGGACGAGAUCCUCUCGUAGUGGUGGAGUGCUGUAAUGCCCCGAGACCGAUGUGCCAAGUGUCGUGCAGUUAUUCGCUGUUGUUGCAUUGUCAUUGCUUGCGUGUCAUGCAUCUCAUAUCAUGUCAUCAUGCGCAUUUCAUUUGCAUACGUGUUCAUCUCAUGCAUCCGAGCAUUUUCCCCGUUGUCCGUUUUGCAAUCCGGCGCUUCGUUCUCCUCCGGUGAUCAUUUCUACCUUUCUUUCUUGUGUGGGGAUUAAACAUUUCCGGAUUGGACCGAGACUUGUCAUGCGGCCUUGGUUUACUACCGGUAGACCGCCUGUCAAGUUUCGUACCAUUUGGACUUCGUUUGAUACUCCAACGGUUAACCGAGGGACCGAAAAGGCCUCGUGUGUGUUGCAGCCCAACACCCCCCAAAUUUGGCCCAAAACCCACCAAACUCUGCUCCAUGUCCUAGAGCGUUCGAUCACGAUCGUGUGGGCGAAAACCGCACCUCAUUUGGACUCUCCUAGCUCCCUCUAUGCCUAUAUAUACACCCCCCCUCCGAAAUCCGCGGUUCUUCUCCCCCCUAACCCUAGAUCCAACUCCUUCCGCCGCCGCCGGACACAACCGCCGUCGACGGACAUUGUCCGCCCGUCACCCCGCCGCCGCGCCCAGCCACUCGGGGGCCGCCACGUCACCCCCGCCGCCGCCGCCUCCNNNNNNNNNNNNNNNNNNNNNNNNNNNNNNNNNNNNNNNNNNNNNNNNNNNNNNNNNNNNNNNNNNNNNNNNNNNNNNNNNNNNNNNNNNNNNNNNNNNNNNNNNNNNNNNNNNNNNNNNNNNNNNNNNNNNNNNNNNNNNNNNNNNNNNNNNNNNNNNNNNNNNNNNNNNNNNNNNNNNNNNNNNNNNNNNNNNNNNNNNNNNNNNNNNNNNNNNNNNNNNNNNNNNNNNNCUCCGCCCUGGCGUCCGCGCCACGGCGCCCGAGCCGGCCCCGCCGCCCUUCGCCGCGCCUCCUCGUCGUCCGGGCCGGCGCCCCUCCUCUCCGGCCAAGGUCCGGCGAGCUCCCCCUUUCUCCGGCCACCGCCGCGGCCAUCUCCGGCGGGAUCGAGCUACAGUACCGCCGCCGCCUCGGGAUCCGUGAGCCAGAUCUAGAUCCACUAGGUUGACUUUUCACUCCUGAAACCCUAAUUUUCGUGCUAUCUUUGACUGCUUGUAUCUCCGCAACUGUAGCUCCGUUUUGGGCAUAUGAUAUAUCAGAAUCUUCGUCUCGACAUGUACAUCAUUUCAUUCCAUUGCAUCAUUUGCAUUUGAGGUCAUCUUGAUUCCCAAAAUGCUGUUAGUAGGAGGCUUCGUGAGUUAAAUUGCAGAUCCGUUAGUUCAUCAUGCACUUUUGUCAUUUUUGCCAUGUUUAAUUCGUGCAUGAUAUGCCUGUGCCCCUUUGGGAUGAAUUGUUAAGCAUUUUGUCUUCUUUCCAGAGGUGCCACCCAUGCAUUUUUAGGAUGUGUGUGUUGUCUUGUGCAAGCUUGCGAAGAGAGGUACCUGAGAUUGCAGAUUUCAGGGACUUAGUGAUUUUCACUAAGUCUGGGAUAUUUUAGUUCAUGAUGCUAUAUGUCUAGCUUGUUUCCUAGUGAUCCGUGCCUCUUUUGAGGAUGAUCAGUAAGGGAGUUUUGAUAUUUAUGUUAUGCUCUAUCCAUCCAUGUAUUUGUUGGCAUAUGUGGAGUGCUCUAGGUUGACUCAAUCGAGCUCAACUUUUGCUUCGUUGUUAAUCUGGGCAGAUCGUCAACUUGUUUGCGAUUUUGCCGAUGCUACCGUUAGUGUUCCAUGCAUGCUAUGCCUUCGUUCUUGCCAUGUGUAGCUAGCACAUUGUGCCUUCUUGCUGGUUAUAUGCUUUCCUUGCCAUGACUUGCACCGUAGUGAGUGCAUCGAGCUCAUUUACAUGCCUUCGUGAGUUUAAUUUCAGCAUGUCUCAGUUUUCACUAAGUCUGAAAACUGAUUGUGUUCGAGCUAUGUUCGUGAGCUCGGUAGAGUAUUUUGUGAACCCUUUUGGCCCCAGGUCACUUUGGGUGUUUUGUUAAGCUUGUUGAGUAGCUCCAUGCCAUGUUCUUACUUGUCAUGUUCAGGUUUUCUAUCAUGUUGUUUUGCUGCUCCGAAGAGAGCAUCGUGAUCUGAGAUUUCAGACUAGUGUUAAUUUCACUAAGUCUGGAAUCUGUUUUGCAUAUUCAUUUUGGCCAUGCUUGUUUGAACCUCUUAAUGGAUGAAUCUGCCUAUGGCUCAGUGCUAGUGUUUUGUUAACCAUCUUGUGUACAUCUCGGCCAUGUAUUUUGUUUUCAUGUUUGGUGGCUGUAGCAUGUUCAUUUCGUUGCAUUUAGAUGCCUACUUGCUGUAAAUCGCAGACCGGUGUCAUAUCUUAAAACGCUUGCCAUUUCCAAACCGUGAGAGCUUGACAUGGGCUAAGUUGGGACACCCCUGCAGGGUAUUAUCUUUCGAAAGCCGUGCCCGUGGUUAUGGGCAGAUGGGAAUUUGUUAACGUCCGGUUGUAGAAAACCCGAAGUUGACCUUAAUUAAAAUACAUCAACCGCGUGUGUAACCAUGAUGGUCUCUUUCCGGCGGAGUCCGGGAAGUGAACACGGUGUUGGAGUUAUGUUUGACGUAGGUUGCUAUAGGAUCACUUCUUGAUCAUACUUUUAUCGACCGUGCUUUGCCUUCUCUUCUCGCUCUCAUUUGCGUAUGUUAGCCACCAUAUAUGCUAGUCGCUUGCUGCAGCUCCACCUCAUACCUUUACCUUACCCAUAAGCUUAAAUAGUCUUGAUCUCGCGGGUGCGAGAUUGCUGAGUCCCCGUGGCUCACCAGAUACUUCCAAAACCAGUUUGCAGGUGCCUAUGUUACCGAGCAGGAGACGCAACCAAGCUCAAGGAGGAGCUCGAUGAAGAUCUUGCCCUUUGUGUUGUUUCGUUCUAGUUGAUCAGUAGUGGAGCCCAGUUGGGGUCGAUCGGGGACCGUUGUCGCAUUUGGGGUUCUUCUUUUAUUUUGGUUCCGUAGUCGGACCUUGAUUGUAUCUGGAUGAUGUAAUGCUUUAUUCAUGUAAUUGUGUGAAGUGGCGAUUGUAAGCCAACUAUGUAUCUCUUUCCCUUAUGUAUUA
rnacentral:lncRNA from 1 species